UGCAAGUCGAACGAUGAAGACCGUGCUUGCACGGUUGGAUUAGUGGCGAACGGGUGAGUAUCACGUGAGUAACCUUCCCUUGACUCUGGGAUAAGCCCGGGAAACUGGGUCUAAUACCGGAUACGACCAGUCCUCGCAUGGGGUGCUGGUGGAAAGAUUUAUCGGUCUUGGAUGGACUCGCGGCCUAUCAGCUUGUUGGUGAGGUAAUGGCUCACCAAGGCGAUGACGGGUAGCCGGCCUGAGAGGGUGACCGGCCACACUGGGACUGAGACACGGCCCAGACUCCUACGGGAGGCAGCAGUGGGGAAUAUUGCACAAUGGGCGAAAGCCUGAUGCAGCGACGCCGCGUGCGGGAUGACGGCCUUCGGGUUGUAAACCGCUUUCAGCAGGGAAGAAGCGAAAGUGACGGUACCUGCAGAAGAAGCGCCGGCUAACUACGUGCCAGCAGCCGCGGUAAUACGUAGGGCGCGAGCGUUAUCCGGAAUUAUUGGGCGUAAAGAGCUCGUAGGCGGUUUGUCACGUCUGCUGUGAAAGCCCGAGGCUCAACCUCGGGUGUGCAGUGGGUACGGGCAGACUAGAGUGCAGUAGGGGAGACUGGAAUUCCUGGUGUAGCGGUGAAAUGCGCAGAUAUCAGGAGGAACACCGAUGGCGAAGGCAGGUCUCUGGGCUGUUACUGACGCUGAGGAGCGAAAGCAUGGGGAGCGAACAGGAUUAGAUACCCUGGUAGUCCAUGCCGUAAACGUUGGGCACUAGGUGUG
rnacentral:rRNA from 2 species